rnacentral:rRNA from 3 species
ACGCCAGUCUGCAUGGAGCCGGCCUUGAAAUACCACCCUUUAAUGUUUGAUGUUCUAACGUGGACCCGUGAUCCGGGUUGCGGACAGUGUCUGGUGGGUAGUUUGACUGGGGCGGUCUCCUCCUAAAGAGUAACGGAGGAGCACGAAGGUUGGCUAAUCCUGGUCGGACAUCAGGAGGUUAGUGCAAUGGCAUAAGCCAGCUUGACUGCGAGCGUGACGGCGCGAGCAGGUGCGAAAGCAGGUCAUAGUGAUCCGGUGGUUCUGAAUGGAAGGGCCAUCGCUCAACGGAUAAAAGGUACUCCGGGGAUAACAGGCUGAUACCGCCCAAGAGUUCAUAUCGACGGCGGUGUUUGGCACCUCGAUGUCGGCUCAUCACAUCCUGGGGCUGAAGUAGGUCCCAAGGGUAUGGCUGUUCGCCAUUUAAAGUGGUACGCGAGCUGGGUUUAGAACGUCGUGAGACAGUUCGGUCCCUAUCUGCCGUGGGCGCUGGAGAACUGAGGGGGGCUGCUCCUAGUACGAGAGGACCGGAGUGGACGCAUCACUGGUGUUCGGGUUGUCAUGCCAAUGGCACUGCCCGGUAGCUAAAUGCGGAAGAGAUAAGUGCUGAAAGCAUCUAAGCACGAAACUUGCCCCGA